rnacentral:rRNA from 1 species
UACGAAGGGGGCUAGCGUUGUUCGGAUUUACUGGGCGUAAAGCGCACGUAGGCGGAUCGUUAAGUCGGGGGUGAAAUCCUGGAGCUCAACUCCAGAACUGCCUUCGAUACUGGCGAUCUUGAGUCCGGAAGAGGUGAGUGGAACUCCUAGUGUAGAGGUGGAAUUCGUAGAUAUUAGGAAGAACACCAGUGGCGAAGGCGGCUCACUGGUCCGGUACUGACGCUGAGGUGCGAAAGCGUUGGGAGCAAACAGG